rnacentral:rRNA from 1 species
UACGGAGGGUGCAAGCGUUGUCCGGAUUUAUUGGGUUUAAAGGGUGCGUAGGCGGCUGUUUAAGUCAGUGGUGAAAGACUCCGGCUCAACCGGAGCAGUGCCAUUGAUACUGGAUAGCUUGAGUAUUGGAGGGGUACAUGGAAUUGAUGGUGUAGCGGUGAAAUGCAUAGAUACCAUAAGGAACACCGAUAGCGAAGGCAUUGUACUUAUCGACAACUGACGCUGAGGCACGAAAGCGCGGGUAGCGAACAGG